CUGUGCAGUUUUUGCCAUUGAAAAGUGUGUCUAGUCUUUGCUGAAGUAUUCCGAGAGGUUAAAACGAAGAAUUCAAGAUGAAAAGUGCUGUUUUCCUGAUGGUUUUUGCUGUCCUUUUGGCGACGAGCCUCAUCCACGAAAGUGAAGCGUUUGCUGCUGGCGGUGGAGCAUUUGGGAAAAAGCGAAAUUUGAUUGAGAGGUCCGGCGCAGAUGACGGCCUUCGCGAGUUGUGUGAAAUGGCAAGUGGGGUAUGCCGAAAAUACUUGUUGAAGAAAAAGAGAAACGAAUAGAGAAGACGACAAGUUUGCCUGAACUAGUUUAAAAUAUUCUAUAAUUUAAAAAAGCUCGAUUGUUGGAAAGCGAAUGUGGAGCGAAAUGAAAUAUUGUAAAUUAUAAAAUAAUUUAUUGUGUAAUGAAAAUAAAAAUGUAUGCCUUAAAAAUG